UGCCAUAUAAUCAUAUUGAUGAACACAAAAUAACUUGUUAUACAUUGUAGAGAAUUCGUGCCUAUCAUUUCCAAAAUAGGCUUGAGUCCUGAUCCUUUUACACUAGGUAUUUUUAUCAAUUGGCUUGAUUGUUGGGUUUUAGGAUCUAGCUAUGAUCACUAAUCUCUAUUCUCCAGACUUCAAAGCUUGAACGAAGUCUCCCUCC
rnacentral:lncRNA from 1 species